rnacentral:rRNA from 1 species
GACGAACGCUGGCGGCGUGCUUAACACAUGCAAGUCGAGCGGUAAGGCCCUUUCGGGGGUACACGAGCGGCGAACGGGUGAGUAACACGUGGGUGACCUGCCCUCAGCUCUGGGAUAAGCCUGGGAAACCGGGUCUAAUACUGGAUAUGACUCCAUGACGCAUGUUGGUGGGGUGGAAAGCCUUGUGCGGCUGAGGAUGGGCCCGCGGCCUAUCAGCUUGUUGGUGGGGUGANGGCCUACCAAGGCGACGACGGGUAGCCGGCCUGAGAGGGCGACCGGCCACACUGGGACUGAGACACGGCCCAGACUCCUACGGGAGGCAGCAGUGGGGAAUCUUGCGCAAUGGGCGAAAGCCUGACGCAGCGACGCCGCGUGAGGGAUGA